AGGGAUGAACAGAUGGAAGGGCGGAUGGAGGGAUGAACAGAUGGAAGGGCGGAUGGAGGGAUGAACAGAUGGAAGGACGGAUUAAUCAGUGAUGGAUGAAUGUGUGGAUGUGGACAGAUGGAUGAAUGCAUGGACAGAUAGGUAGUGGAGAGAUGGUACAGGGGAUUGGUAGAAAGUGAAAUAAGCACCUGGGUCAUCUCAGGCAUAUGGGCAAUGUGAGUCGCUUCUAGCAGAGACCGUGAUGGGACUCGCCUGGCUUUACAGAUGGAGCCUUGGCAUGCAUGGCACGAUGUCCACGUCCUCCACCAACUAGAAGACCAGUGAUUUGGCUCGGGUCGUUUUCUUGGUUCAGCCUUGUCAGCCCCAUGACUAUGGCGAGUCUUCUGCCCUCCUGGUCUUGAUUUCCCGUCUGGAUGAUGAGGAUUUACUGGAUGAGAUGGGCCUCUAUGGUGGAGUCUCCAGAUUUUCCUAGGAGGAGGGGCAGCACCCCUACCUCUCUCUUCUGCUCACAGGCCUUCCCUCACUCCAUUCCCAGGCUCAGCGCAGGCACCUGCCAUGCACCCUCUUCCCCACCAGUUUCUAAAUGUCUGGGCACGAAGCCAGCAGGAGAGAUGGGCCCUGGGGAAAGGGGAGCUGGCCCCUGCUGCAGGGUGGGCAGGCUGGGGGCCACUGUGGCUGCAGACAGCUGCUCAGCAGGCCCUUGGCAGGCUCCAGCUGAGUCAUCCUGAGUCACCACUGUCACCUCCUACCACACAUUCCUUCAUUCAUACAGUGUCUACCCCUGAGGCCACCUCCCUGAAAUCUCACUGGGCAGUUGCCAAGGGUGUGGAGGGCACUCAGGCCUGCCUGAUGGGCCCUUGGCAGGGAGAGAGGGCUGGGCAAGAUGACCUCCGGGAAGGUGUGGACGCCCUCUGAGUUCCUUCCAGACCGGGAGCUCUCUGACCUCACUGGGCUGGGUCCCCUACAGAUGGGAGGGCUAGGUGCCUGUCUCCUUGAGGGCCCUUAGCAGUCAUUCGGAGGAACACUGGGCCCCUCAGCUCACUGAGAUUCACUGGGAUGAGGAGACAAGAGUGACUCACCUGCCCCCCUUGCCUGUCUGCUCAGCAGCCACACCCAGGCUAGGCUCUCCUGCAGUGAACCAGGCCAGCUCUGGAGUGGGCAGCCCUGCUCUGUGUCUGUCCCAGCGCUUCCUUGCUGUGUGGUGUGGGGCAGGCCAUGUGUGGUGUGGGGCAGGCCAUGCACAGCUCCAGGCCUCCGUGUCCUCGUCUGUAGCCGGGGUGCCACCAGGCAAUGCCUCUGGUGACUUGUGUGGGCACCUGGUGCUCCUCUGUCCCUCCUGGGGCCAAGGGUGUCCUACAGGCCUUUGACCUGCAGGGCUCACCUCUGGCAGAUCCUGAGUCCUGGCGUCAGAUACCACCAGGAACACAAUUCUGGGUCUGGGAGGUGAGCCUCUCUCCAGCUGGAAGCCUGGGCUACACUAAGAGCUUAGGGACCCAGGGUGGUGACCCCUGAGUGCUGGGCUCCCAGGGGUGGGAAGAGAGAGGCCCGGGUAGUAGCCUGGUCCACCUGCAGUAGGUGCCAGGUAGGGCAGCUGCUGGGAACCCGGCACGGGGCCCAGGGCCAGGCUGGGGCUGGUGGUCUCAGGGUCCAUGAGGCCCAUACGUCAGCCUCUGAAUUUGCCAUGGCAGGAACUUGGGACACAAGAAGCCGGCACCACUGAACACCCUGUCCUUUUCAUUCAUUUCCUCUCCCACUAACCCUGGUCAAGCCUUCUGUGGCAGGCACCACUCUGCACUGAGGAUUUAUGUCAAUGAAAUUGACUUGGGUCCCUGUCCAAGGGGGUCUGCAUUCUACUGAGGGGAGACGGAAGACAGGCAGUAACCAUAGUCACAUGGCCUGGCCUGCUAUGGAGGCAAUCAGAACCGUGGGAAAGAGAAAGGAGAGUGAGGGAAGAGGGUGCUCUCUGAGAAGGGCUUUGGAUGGGAUCAGGAGGGGCAGGGUGAGCGGGGAUGGGGGGUGUCUGGAUGGCGCACCCCUCUGUGGAGCAGUAGGGAGGCCGGUAGAGGGGACCAAAUCUGGGAAGCGGUUGGAUCCUGCACAACUGCCCAGGGAGGCUGACAUGGCACCCGUUUUCUGGGAUGGCCCCAUGUGCUCUAGUGUGAUUCUUACAGGGCUCCCUUUUCCUCUCAAAGGACAGGUUAAUUGGUCCCACCCUUGCAUGACUUUUAAGGCCUUUGUCUUUCACUUGAAUGAAUUGGGGAGCAGGGGAAGGAUGGGUCCUACUCAGGCUGCUGAAAGGAUGCUGUGCCUGCCAGGUUAAGGAGGGACUGGGGGACGGGGUCAAGGGCGGAUUUAUGAUCUGUGAUCUUAAUAUCCAUUUUCUGAUACCCCUCAGCUCUGGGGACACAGAGAUGGGGCAGACAAGGUCUUCCCUAGAGAUUCCCUGAUGGAGGAAGGACACACAAAGGCUGAUAAACACCAUAAAGAACCUGCAGACUAAGGCCUCGGGAGCUUGAGGAGGGAGCAGCCAAGUUGGGGAGGAAAUCCAGGAAGUCUUCCUGAAGGAAGGGGUGUUUGAGGUGAAUCUUGAGGGCUGAGCAGCAGAUUCCCCAGGUCGAGAGUCAGAAAGAGGGGAAGGUAUUCCAGAUAGAAUGACAGAUGGCAAAGGCUCAGGCGUAGGAACAAAACACCAAGCCCUCCCACUUCAUUCAUUCAUUCAUCUACUCAUUCAUUCUCCACUUCCUUCUUGUAUGCACUGUUUACCUGGCACCAUGCUGGCCCUAGAGAAAUACUAACCCCACUCCUCACCCGCUCUGUGGCACUUGUCCAAGGAGGGGCUGGCUGUGGCCAGGAAGCCAUCCUGGUUUAGCAACCUGGCAAGCAUCCCUCCCUCCAUGAAACUCUGGAUCCCAACAAGGCUACAUUUGUUUUGUAUUUGAAAUUCCACUAAUUUUUUCGUGUCUUUGCAUUAAUGAUUCCUCUUUAAACAUCAAAGGGACCCGUAGGGCAUUUUGACUCCUAACCUUUUUGUAUGAGAAGCAGCUGAUCAUUAUCCCACGGCUCCAAUGAUAGGCUGCAGUCAGUUCAGAUUCCCAAGAUUACAAAAGGAAAUUCCGCUAAUUAUAGUUUGAUAGAAAUUAUAGUUCUGCCGAUUCCUGAUUGACAGGGUGGGCUGGCAGGAAUCACUGUGCUCUUUGAUAAGAUUUUAUGAAUCUCUCGCAGGAAUCUCACAAGUGCCUCAUUGCAGGAGAAGUUUCCUUCACGCCUCUCUCCCAUGAGGAACCUGCUCAUCUUAUCCCCGGAAUAAAUGGAGGGCCUGGAGUACGUGGGUGCAAGAACAGAGGCCUGGGAGUCAGGAAUCCUGGUGCCAAAGGACCAGGCAGGACCAGUGCCAGGAAAAGGACUGGAACAUGAACGGGCUGCUCGUUGAAGGUCACACAUUUGCAAUUUGAUGGAGACAGCAGGGGUCUUCACGUGCCAAGCAGAGUAGCUGUGUAGCAAUUCUGGGCACCACAGCAGCACAAAGAUCACACCACACAUCAGGCCCUCAGAACUUCAUUCUGAAUUUUGAAAUGCUUCAGCUUACUCUUCAGGAUGGGGCAGAGUCUUCUCCUCACAUCCCUUAUAUCUGGAGCCUCAGAGCUGGAUACAUUUGUUGGCUCUGCCCCAGGGGUCAACCAACAGUGACCAAGGCACAGAAGAAAGAGGUGAAGAUCUAAAUCUAGUCCCAGGAGGAUAUAGACCUAUCUACAAACAGAAGCAGCCUCCUAGGACUUUGCCUGCAUCUGCCUACAAGCAGGCUCCUCCACCAUGACAAUGAGCUACUUCCAGCCAUUUCCACGGACUCUGGAAGAAAUUGGCUUGAAGAAUAGCUGGACACACAUCCAGUCUCAGAGCCUAGAGGUGAAACACACCGACUCUGGAGUCAGAGAGACCUAGGUUUGAAUCCUAGUCCUACCACUUUCUCUCUCAUCCUUAUGUUAGUCACUUAACUUCUUUAGGUCUCCAUGUUGUCACAUGGAAAAUGGAACUUUCCACCUCCUCGGGAUGUUACGAUGACUGAUGUAACAAGCUCAGCACAGUGCCUGUACAGGGCCAGCAGCUUCUCUCUGAGCUGUUUCCUGAUGGAAGACCAACUCAACAGACUUGAACAAAAGAGGCUGGCCUGGUACAGAACAGGUGUGGCGGGUCCAGGCUUCAGAAGAGGUCGGGAAUUUUCCUUCCAUGGUCACUCGCUCUCCUAUCCCCAUCUCUGCUACUUGAAGAUGGAAAAGUAGAAUCAGCACACCCAGUGACCCUGGAGACAGAGGCUUGCAUCUAAUUUCUAGAUCAAUGGGUUCCUGUCUGGACUCCGUAUUAGCAAAUGUAAGGCUCUCUUGGUGCGAAUAUAAUCCUGUACCCUAGUUUAUCUUUCUCCCUCCAUUGGACUAGCUCCUCCUAAUCAAUCUUUAUCCGUUCCAUCCGUCCGAUAUGUUAGAAAAAGAAGGGCCAUCCAAGUUAUUCCUUUAAUGGCUACCUUAGGCUAUAACCUCCAGGCUUAGGUUGGGAGCAGGCGGACUGGCCACCUCUUUAACAUACAUUAAAGCUCUGUCAACAGAACUGCAAGGUUCAUUAAAAGAUAUAGUCCAAAGUCUGAUAAAAGUCCAAGACCAGGGCGGACAUGGUGGCUCACGCCUGUAAUCUCAGCACUUUGGGAGGCUGAGGCUGGCAGAUCAUUUGAGGUCAGGAGUUCGAGACCAGUCUGGCCAAUCUGAUGAAAUGCCAUUUCCAC